rnacentral:lncRNA from 10 species
CAAACACAAGAUGUUUUUCUGAAAAAAAAAAAAAAAAAAAAAAAACACUGGUAGAACUAAAAAAACUCACUUUCAGGUCAAUCUUCUGUACGUGUUAAUAUGCCUUAAUUUAAGCAACUGUCAAAUGCUUUAAAAUGUGUUUUGGUCACUAAGGAUUUUUAAAAAUCAUGCCUUAUACCUAACAACUUGCUUUUUUAGUUUUUUAUUGCACAUAAUACACACAUGCAUAACCACACAACUUCAUUUUGGGUUGUAGCUCAAGCUGAGAACCUUUUGCAAAUUUUCCAUGUUGUUACAG